rnacentral:rRNA from 1 species
AGUGAGCGCUGGCGGUAGGCCUAACACAUGCAAGUCGAACGGCAGCACAGUAAGAGCUUGCUCUUACGGGUGGCGAGUGGCGGACGGGUGAGGAAUACAUCGGAAUCUACUUUUUCGUGGGGGAUAACGUAGGGAAACUUACGCUAAUACCGCAUACGACCUACGGGUGAAAGCAGGGGAUCUUCGGACCUUGCGCGAUUGAAUGAGCCGAUGUCGGAUUAGCUAGUUGGCGGGGUAAAGGCCCACCAAGGCGACGAUCCGUAGCUGGUCUGAGAGGAUGAUCAGCCACACUGGAACUGAGACACGGUCCAGACUCCUACGGGAGGCAGCAGUGGGGAAUAUUGGACAAGGGGCGCAAGCCUGAUCCAGCCAUACCGCGUGGGUGAAGAAGGCCUGCGGGUUGUAAAGCCCUUUUGUUGGGAAAGAAAAGCAGCAGGUUAAUACCCCGCUGUUCGGACGGUACCCAAAGAAUAAGCACCGGCUAACUUCGU